AUGAUCAAGCAAUUACUUAGUUGAGCAUGAGAAAACUUGAACAUGCUGAGUAUCAGCAAAAACUUAUAGUAAAUAGAAGACAUGUCAGUUUUCAAAUCAAUAGGACAAACAAGCAUCGAACCACGUACUAGGUGGCCACAUAUAGGUAAAAAUAUUGGUAACGAGAUUUACUCUGACAAACAAGCAUCGACCCACGUAGUAGGUGGCCACAUAUAGGUAAAAAUGUUGGUAACGAGAUUUACUCUAAAGGUCGUAACUAAUACUGGGGAACACAGGGCUAAGCAGGUCAAGAAAAGCACAUGAUACAAAUACAAAGGCAUGAGAAAAAGUCAUAGCUAAUAGUAGAGCUCCAGAAAGAUAAAGAGUUGGGCAUGAAUAUCUCAACAUGAAUUAGAACACAUUCUAGGCAUGAGUUGGUUAUCAUAAAAGUACAAAACAAGGCAAUGAACCAACUUAGAAUAAGCAACAGGUACAAGCAACCAACUAUUCAUAAACAUGAUGAUUAGAAAUUAUUCAAGU
rnacentral:lncRNA from 1 species